AUCAAUUCAGGAGCUGAUCUCGCCCGCAACAAGCUGCUUUCAGAACCUUCUCACCAGAUUGAAUAGCCUUUCACAUAUUGCAGGCUGCUUCCCAAGCUAAACUAGUCAAGAUGAUGAUCAAAGUAGCUCUUGUGCUCUGUGCUAUUGUGGCAACCAGUAUGGUGUGCGCCAAAAAUUUUGAAGAGCAAGAUGCAUUGGACACUUUGCUGAAUCUGAUGCUCUCGGAGGAAGUUGCAUCUCCUGAUGCUGUGGCCUUGCAAGGCUCCCUCUCGGAGGAGGCUGCAUCUCCUGAUGACGCGGUAGCCUUGCAGAGAUGGAUGAGGCGAGUCCUCAAAUUUGGAGGUCGUGUAGUUCGUAAGAUAGUCCAUCCCCAUGAUCAUCCCCAUGAUCAGUGAAGAGGAUCUUAAAUCGAUAUGCGCUGGUGCACAAGCCCUUUUCCGAUAGACUCGGAAGGGACCAGGAGGCACUAUCCGGGACACUUGAUGUUGAUUCUUCCUGAACAAACAAUGAAAUAAAAGCAAGAAAUUGUCAACUUCCAUCGUGUUUUUUCAACUUCCUUAUAAUCAGAAUCUUCUUUAUAACUCCUGUAUUGUUUAAAUCAUUAAACCUUGUUAAUCCUCUAAAAAAGAAGAUGGUGAGUGGUUUUCAUUAUCAAUACAUAUUUUGCCUUUACUUCCAUGUAUCCAUUUAUUAUACAUCUUUCCUAGGUGUUUACAAACAUGUUGGGUUAAAAGUACAACUAUUCUUAAAAUCUAGCAUAAUAAUACAUCUUUUCAUCAUAAGCUUCAUUUAAAAAAUCUUCUCUCGGUUUUACUCUUUUUUUUCCCUAAAGAAAAGUACCAACAACAAGACAUUGUAAGCAUGGUAUAAGGGGAAUAACUAAUAGUAUUGGUAAUAAUGCUGAUAAUAAAAUCACAUGA